GGGGAUGUAGCUCAGUUGGUUAAGAGCGCCUGUUUGUCGUAUAGGCAACUGUAGGGGUUCGAUUCCUCCAUCUUCC
rnacentral:tRNA from 1 species